UGUCCUCUGAAACAAUUCCCCUAGUGAUGUUCUGUGUUCCUUCUUUACAACCAUUGUUUCUGGUAACUCAAUUGCUGACCCGAAUAGAUAACCCUGGAGUGGACAGGUUGUUGCACCAUUCCCACUAGUCUCUGUACCUUCAAAUGGCUUGCCACUCAGUGUAAUGGUGCUACAAUGGCUGCUUCUCCCUGUGCUAACAAGGCUGUUUCUCCCAGAUGAGUCAUUUUAUGUUCUCAACAGAGAUGGAAAAUGUUGGUGUUGAUGGGUGAGUGUUGACUGGGUCUGACCCCAGAGUGCCAAUGGUAAGAAAGCCAUGGAAGAGCUCGGAAAUUGCACGUGAUGACUCUUCUUCGUAGUAAUUUUCUUCUGCUCUAGCUGCAUCCAAGCUUGCAAAUGAGUAUCGAAGAUAGUUGUCUCUCUGUGCUUUGCCAAAGGGCUUCGUACCACAGUUGGACUUGGGGUAGUACUGUUGCUCAUCCACUGAUGGCUGGCCUGAAAGACAAGUAUAAUAAUAUUCCGACAGAAGAAAAGUGAAGUAAUUGUGAUAAAUUGUGUGGAGAAAGAUUUUACUACUAUGUUGUCCAUUUUAUUUUCAUCGUGAAGUUAUAAUACUCCAUCUAUAUAUAAGCUUGCAGCAUGGGAGCUUCCAAGUGUACAA